rnacentral:rRNA from 1 species
GGACGGAGCACGAGAAACUUUGUCUGAAUAUGGGGGGACCAUCCUCCAAGGCUAAAUACUACUGACUGACCGAUAGUGAACUAGUACCGUGAGGGAAAGGCGAAAAGAACCCCGGAGAGGGGAGUGAAAUAGAUCCUGAAACCGUAUGCGUACAAGCAGUGGGAGCAGACUUUGUUCUGUGACUGCGUACCUUUUGUAUAAUGGGUCAGCGACUUAUAUUCAGUGGCGAGCUUAACCGAAUAGGGGAGGCGUAGCGAAAGCGAGUCUUAAUAGGGCGUUUAGUCGCUGGGUAUAGACCCGAAACCGGGCGAUCUAUCCAUGGGCAGGUUGAAGGUUAGGUAACACUGACUGGAGGACCGAACCGACUACCGUUGAAAAGUUAGCGGAUGACCUGUGGAUCGGAGUGAAAGGCUAAUCAAGCUCGGAGAUAGCUGGUUCUCCUCGAAAGCUAUUUAGGUAGCGCCUCAUGUAUCACUGUAGGGGGUAGAGCACUGUUUCGGCUAGGGGGUCAUCCCGACUUAACAAACCGAUGCAAACUCAGAAUACCUACA